rnacentral:rRNA from 1 species
AUUGAUCGCUGGCGGCAUGCCUUACACAUGCAAGUCGAACGGCAGCACGGGAGCAAUCCUGGUGGCGAGUGGCGAACGGGUGAGUAAAGUAUCGGAACGUGCCCAGUCGUGGGGGAUAACGUAGCGAAAGUUACGCUAAUACCGCAUACGAUCUAUGGAUGAAAGCGGGGGAUCGCAAGACCUCGCGCGAUUGGAGCGGCCGAUAUCAGAUUAGGUAGUUGGUGGGGUAAAGGCUCACCAAGCCGACGAUCUGUAGCUGGUCUGAGGGGACGAACAGCCACACUGGGACUGGGACACGGCCGAGACUGCUACGGGAGGCAGCAGUGGGGAAUUUUGGACAAUGGGCGAAAGCCUGAUCCAGCCAUGCCGCGUGCAGGAUGAAGGCCUUCGGGUUGUAAACUGCUUUUGUACGGAACGAAAAGGUUUGGCCUAAUAAGCUAAGCUCAUGACGGUACCGUAAGAAUAAGCACCGGCUAACUACGUGCCAGCCGCCGCAGUAA